GAACCUUACUCCAUACUGGGAGCAGCGAAAUUUCGGAGAGGCUCUACCGCGGACCCCGUUUGAGAUCCAAGAGAACGGGGAGGCUUUUUCUGGGGAACAGCGGCACUUUCUUAGGGCAUGCACUCAUAUCUUUCACGGUCACAAAGUACCCGACUGAAAACGAAAUGGUGACAAAUAUUAGGAAGCUACGGGGAACGAGGGGGUAAGUCUAGUCUUGUUAAGGGUAGUCGUUUUAACAGCAAAGACCGCGGGGCUACGCGGAAAAAACGAGAAUUUAUUAGUGAGGCUUUAUUACGCCAGGAAGAGGGUUGAGACUUCGAGUUAAAAGACCGCUCAGAACGCUUCCCGCGCCGCAAUCCCCACACUCCCUUUUAAAAAAAUCAUCUUGGCAGUAUUAGCCUAUUCGGCCCUUUAGUCACACCCUUAUUCCUAGUCCUUAGUGGCAUUUCCCUGUGUAUCUCCUUCAGGUGCCCAGCCUUUGAGUUGCCUGGGACCUCUCGGCGUCUGGAAAAACUGGUGCAAACUUGCUCUUCGCCAAGCGUGCACCGAAGAGUGGGCUCUCCCCAGGCGGGUGUCUCUGCGGCCCCGGCGACCUUCCCGGGCCUGGGAAACCCGGCGUAUUUUCCAGCACUCAGCCUCGGAGCUCCUGCUUUAUUUCAGUUCAAUCCCAAGGGCACGGAACCAAGGAUGAUAAACAAUGCUGUUUAUUAGAGAUACAAACGGUCGCAGCAAAGAACCACGUAGAGUAAUCAAGUACAGAGGCAUUUUAACAAAUGAUCUGAUAUUCAGCACGGCCUCUGAAAAUGACUUGUACAAAGGAGGACAGGUCUCUAAAAAUACAGAAUUUCACAAAAUGCAGGUUUUGUCAAAAUAUGAUGGUUGGAGCUGUUUUUGUUUGGUUUUGCCUCAGAAGUCUGGCAGAGUUGUUGCUACCUGUCCAUGCCUCGAUGCAAACCGCCCCUUCCCGUCCAACACUUUACAUUGCAAGGCCUCGUUAAAAAAAUAAAAGAAAGAAAGACAAGAAAAUAAAAAGAAAAAAAGAGAAAAAAUAUAUAUAGACGUGAAGGAUCUUCCAGGUGUGGUGUACUCUGAUACCGUUAUCCCAGAUCUCUCAAGAAGUGAAAACACUACUUACCCUUUAGGGAGUGACAACACGAACUUUAGGAGGAGAUGCAAUUAUAACAGGCACGGCCUGAUAAUGCAGAGUUAUGAAAAAUCACACCCCCUUUUUAAAAAUGUAAACGCAGAUACCAUCUGGGUGUUGACCAUGAAAGUGGGGGUUAGGGAUUCCUGUUGGGUGCUGGUAUAACCGAUUUAUGCUCUACCCGAUGGUCUUGGGAAAGGGCUUCCCAUCUGCUCUAAACGCCCGCCUUACAAUGUCAAAAAUCUUCCUGCCUGCAAAUAUUGGCAAGAAGCUGCUAUGACAGUCGGUGCUGCUUUAAAUAGGAAGGAUACCGCCGGGGGAAAAAGAAAGUCGCGACCUUCCUACCCACCAUUCUACCUGCCUCCAGUCCUCAAAAGGCAAAGGAGUUCUAGCAAAGGAGACUCUGAGGAAGAUCUGCCUUCUGAGCAGUGUGGGAAAGAAUCAGCUGUGUUUAGGAACAAAUCUCUGAUUUUCAAGAGCUAGAGUGUACCCAAACUGGUCUCUCCAAAUCAGCUGCUAAGGGGGUUAGAAUCUGAAGUUUGCACCACCUGUGUGGGUUCACUGCACGUUGUUGUUGUUCAGAUAAAGUGAAUUGUUGCAAGAAACUUUAGAAGUGCUUUAGCUCAAUUCUUGUGCACAGUA
rnacentral:lncRNA from 1 species